CAGGAGGAGCAGCAGAGGAGGGAUGAAGCUGAGAAAAAGUUCAGAUACUGAAAGAUGAGCUGGAGACCAAGAGGAAUGAGGUUGAAACCAAACAAGCUGAGCUGCAGCAGCUCCAAGAAGAGAAGCAGAGGAAGGAGAACGACCUGCAGACUGUGAAGGAAGAGCUGGAGAACAAGAACAAAGAGCUGGAGAGAAUUCAAACCAAACGACACAGCUUUCACUUUUUUUUGAAUCGACACUUUAGAGGACAGGAGAUCAAAGCUGGGGAGACACUGAAGACAAAGCUGGAGAUCCAUGAAAUUGAAUUAGACACCCAAAUCAUGGAGGUUUG